rnacentral:rRNA from 1 species
AACGCGAAGAACCUUACCAGCCCUUGACAUGGGGAGUAUGGGCCUUGGACAGGGUCUUCAGUUCGGCUGGCUCCCGCACAGGUGCUGCAUGGCUGUCGUCAGCUCGUGUCGUGAGAUGUUGGGUUAAGUCCCGCAACGAGCGCAACCCUUACCUUCAGUUGCCAUCGGGUUGGGCCGGGCACUCUGGAGGAACUGCCGGUGACAAGCCGGAGGAAGGCGGGGAUGACGUCAAGUCCUCAUGGCCCUUAUGGGCUGGGCUACACACGUGCUACAAUGGCGGUGACAGAGGGCAGCGAAGGCGCGAGCCGGAGCGAAUCCCCAAAAGCCGUCUCAGUUCGGAUUGCACUCUGCAACUCGGGUGCAUGAAGGUGGAAUCGCUAGUAAUCGCGGAUCAGCAUGCCGCGGAUAAUACGUUCCCGGGUCUUGUACACACCGA